GACGAACGCUGGCGGCGUGCUUAACACAUGCAAGUCGAACGCUGAAGCUCAGCUUUUGUUGGGUGGAUGAGUGGCGAACGGGUGAGUAACACGUGAGUAACCUGCCCCCUUCUUUGGGAUAACGCCCGGAAACGGGUGCUAAUACUGGAUAUUCACUGGUCUUCGCAUGGGGGUUGGUGGAAAGGGUUUUUCUGGUGGGGGAUGGGCUCGCGGCCUAUCAGCUUGUUGGUGGGGUGAUGGCCUACCAAGGCUUUGACGGGUAGCCGGCCUGAGAGGGUGACCGGUCACAUUGGGACUGAGAUACGGCCCAGACUGCGACGGGAGGCAGCAGUGGGGAAUAUUGCACAAUGGGCGCAAGCCUGAUGCAGCGACGCCGCGUGAGGGAUGGAGGCCUUCGGGUUGUGAACCUCUUUCGCUCAUGGUCAAGCCGCAACAAUGGUUGUGGUGAGGGUAGUGGGUAAAGAAGCGCCGGCUAACUACGUG
rnacentral:rRNA from 1 species